rnacentral:misc_RNA from 1 species
CACUGGCAGGGCGCAGGUUGUCUGUGUCGUUGGCGGAAAGUGCAGCUGAGCGCGCGACAAUUUGAUCGGAAUAUUGCGUAGUUAUUUCGCGAUAUAAAAAUCCUGCAUACUAAUUAAAUCAAUUUAUUGGUAUAUUACUAGUGUGAGCAGUAAAACUACAAUUCCCGACUCUGCCAGCGUUGCAAAUGAGUAUAUUUUUAAAACGCCAGAGCCCAGCCAGUGCGAUAAAUUCGGUACUAACCCGUACUUAGUGUCUGUUUGUCUGUACUCGUUACGCGUACUCGUUAGUGAACAAGUGAGCGGCCAAGCGUUUAAUUACAACCAAAAAAGAUAAUAAGCAAAUAAAUUAAUUAAAAAAUAUAUUUAAAACAAAAAAAAAAAAAAAAAAACAACAACACAGUUCCUUUGCCCCAGUAAAAUGACAAAGCUAAACGUUUUAUAUGCAACGAUCCUCUGCUGCCUCGCACUCUUGUCGCAGGUGCGAGCGAGGACUCUGAUUGAAAAUAUCACAGAAAGCGCCAAUUCCAUUGUGAAAAACAUCGAUACCUAUGACUUUUCCUCCUGCCAAAUAUACUGUUAUGGACCCCUACUGCACACCGUACAGAUGGCGAAGCUUUUUCCGGACUCGAAAACUUUUGUGGACAUGAAGUUGAAGGCUUCUCCCGAGACAACAUUGGAGGACUUCGAUGCUUUCAUGGCUUCAAAGAAUAAUACACCUACCAGGGACGAGAUUCGGGAAUUUGUUGAUGCUCAUUUUGGAGAGAAGGGCACAGAGUUGGAUGUGUGGACACCAACCGAUUGGGUUGAGCGUCCUGGCUUUCUGGACCUGGUUCACGAUCCGGAUCUAAGGCAAUGGGGCAUGGACCUAAACAACAUCUGGAGGGAGCUGGGCCGUAAAAUGAAAGAGGAUGUGCAGAAAAAUCCUCAGUAUUACUCGAUUAUUCCCGUACCCAAUCCCGUCAUUGUGCCGGGCGGCCGCUUUAUUGAGUUCUACUAUUGGGACUCUUACUGGAUCAUCCGUGGUCUGCUGCAUAGCGAGAUGACAAAUACCGCACGUGGCAUGAUCGAAAACUUUUUGAACAUGGUGCAGCGCAUCGGAUUCAUACCGAACGGCGGCCGUGUCUACUAUUGGGGUCGUUCUCAGCCGCCGCUGCUAACGGCAAUGGUUAAGUCAUAUGUGGAUUUCACAAAGGACGAUCUGUUCGCCAUCAAUGCAUUGGAUGUGCUGGAGCACGAGUUCGAGUAUUUCAUCAACAACCACACCGUGCAGGCAAAGGGACACAACCUAGUUGCAUAUAGGGAUUCGUCAUCCGGUCCACGCCCCGAAUCGUACAGCGAGGAUGUGGAAACAUCGGAGAGCUUUGACACUGAGGCGGCAAAGGAGGAUCACUAUAGCGAACUUAAGUCUGCUGCUGAGUCGGGCAUGGACUUCAGCUCCCGCUGGUACAUCAACGAAGAUGGAACAAAUGUUGGAAACCUUACAAACGCCAAGACGCGCUCCAUUGUCCCUGUCGAGCUAAAUGCAAUUCUUUAUUGGAACGCCAAAAUGAUUGCCGAGUUCCACUCCAAGGCCGGCAACGUCGAAAAGAUGACAGAGUACGAAACCAAGGCACAAAAAAUCAAAGAGGCGAUACAGGCGGUAUUGUGGAACGAGGAAGCCGGCUGCUGGCUGGACUAUGAUCUGAUCAACGACAAGCCGCGCAACUAUUACGUGUCCUCCAAUCUGUCGCCGCUGUGGGUGAAGGCAUACAACAUUUCCGAUUCGGAGAAAAUAUCUGCAUCUGUGCUGAAGUAUAUUGAAAAUAACAAACUGGACACAUUCCCAGGCGGCGUACCGAACACGCUCUAUCAGACCGGUGAGCAGUGGGACUUCCCGAAUGUAUGGGCGCCGAUGCAGUAUAUUCUUGUUGAGGGUCUUGACAAUUUGGGAACUCCAGAAGCCAAGGAGCUCUCGCAACGCUGGGGCCAGCGAUGGGUCAAAUCCAAUUUUGAGGCAUAUCGCGAGACCCUUGCUAUGUUUGAAAAGUACGACGCGGAGAAGUUUGGCGGACAUGGUGGCGGUGGGGAAUACGGCGUACAGACGGGCUUUGGCUGGACCAACGGCGUGAUCAUCGAAUGGCUGGCGAAAUACGGACGCCAGAUCUCUCUAAGUGGCAACACGGGCGGUGCAGGUGAAAACGAGAAAUAGAACAGCAAUGCCAAGCAACUCGACAAAGCAAUUUGAACGACAUCAUUAUUGAAUUCAUUAUCCAAGCAUCGGCAUUGUCUUCCCCCACAGUUGUUACACUUGCUGCUCUGGCCACAGAGCAGUCUACAUAAUUAGUUUUAAGUCGAAGCUCGCAGAGAUGCUCAAAUAGAUGAUAAAUGUAUUUAUUUAUAAGAGUAUCAGAACCAUCUGAAGCGCGUAUCCAUUGCCCAUCAAUAGAUUAAGUUCUUAAUCGCUUUCACUGUCGCUCUUUCCGUCUAUAACUUCCUCUGUAUCGGAAACAAUCAGCGUCUACAAUAAGCACACGCUCAGCACGAUUUAAGUCAGCUUUAUCAUAGAGUCCAACCUUUCAACAAGAACCAGGACUUGAACUCAAAAGAUAUGGAAUGACGUCCACACACUUCUAUAUAUGUAUAACUCGCUUUUCAUUUGUCUUCGACUUUGCCUUCGUCUCGUCUUGUCUCGCCUCGCCUCGCCACGCAUCUAUAUCUGUUCUGUCAAUUUAACGAGUGUCGCAUCUAUGCCGCGUUCGUUAAACGCUAAAUUUUUACCUCCCAGCAGUCGGAUCAUCAGCCUUUUGGGCGUGACAGCUGUAGCGUUAGUGGGCGCCUUGGCCGGCCGAUUUAUCUGGUGAGAAAAUGACUGUGUGCCAACUGUAAUUGCCCUAUAUGAAAAUGUGAUUCCCCUUUACCUAUGUGUGUGCGUGAUUUUGUUUUGUUUUUUUGGUUUUUCCUCCUAGUUACAUAAAAGCCUUUUCAGUUAUUGCUUUGUUGAAUGCGAAGAUUGCAGUAUUAGUUAUAAACAAUUUACAGUUGACUUAUUGUUAGAUGAACUGAGUUAUACAUACAGAGUUUAACGGGCAUGCCCAUAUUGUUAUUAUUAAAAUAUAUGAAGUUAACAUGUACACGAAUUUAUGUGAGUGCAUGCAGACAUUUUGAAUAUCCUCGCCACCCCAUGAAUACACAAGUGUUAUGAAAUCACAAUUUGAUAUAUUUUUGAUGUUGUUACUUGUUAACGAAAAUUGCCAAAUUGUCUGCUUUGAUUUUUAAAUAAAAGACAUACUUGUUGCAUGAAA